rnacentral:rRNA from 1 species
UCCUACGGGAGGCAGCAGUGGGGAAUAUUGCACAAUGGGCGAAAGCCUGAUGCAGCGACGCCGCGUGAGGGAUGACGGCCUUCGGGUUGUAAACCUCUUUCAGCAGGGAAGAAGCGAAAGUGACGGUACCUGCAGAAGAAGCGCCGGCUAACUACGUGCCAGCAGCCGCGGUAAUACGUAGGGCGCAAGCGUUGUCCGGAAUUAUUGGGCGUAAAGAGCUCGUAGGCGGCUUGUCACGUCGGGUGUGAAAGCCCGGGGCUUAACCCCGGGUCUGCAUUCGAUACGGGCUAGCUAGAGUGUGGUAGGGGAGAUCGGAAUUCCUGGUGUAGCGGUGAAAUGCGCAGAUAUCAGGAGGAACACCGGUGGCGAAGGCGGAUCUCUGGGCCAUUACUGACGCUGAGGAGCGAAAGCGUGGGGAGCGAACAGGAUUAGAUACCCUGGUAGUCCACGCCGUAAACGGUGGGAACUAGGUGUUGGCGAC